rnacentral:misc_RNA from 1 species
AAAGGAAACCCAUAACCAUAGAGAGCACUUUAAGAAUCGAAUCAUUCCCCUCUCUAUCAAUGGUUUGAGCUUCCAAUGCUGAGCCACCCGGCGAGGAGAGCAAAGUCGACAUCAACUGGGACGCUGGACGACGCAAGGACCUACCACCAUUAGCUUUUUAAUCCUCACUAGUUACCAUCCUUGGCUAAACAGGCCACCGCUUCUCAGAUCUAG